rnacentral:lncRNA from 10 species
UUCUUAAUACUGUUGCAUGGGGGAUUCCAUUUCAACAUGAAUUUCAGAGGAGACACUAUUAUACAAACCAUAGCAAACUCCAAUAAUCAGCAGGCUCAUGCCUCUCCCUCAGGGAGCACCCAGUCAGGAGGACCACAUUCUGUUUGUCUUUGUCUUCCUCCUUCACCAUGUUCACACAUGAGAUGACCCCAAAUGUCUGUGGGAAAGGAUGAAAAAGUUCUCCCUCACUGACUGUUUUCUCUACUGUGUCCUGUUGUUGUUUGGUUGGUCUUUUAACCCAUAAGGACUCUAUCCCAAAGUAGAGGGGAGUUGGAGGGAGCAUUGUGACUGACCAGCUUCUCUUUAGGGCAUGUGACCCAUUAGGCUGGGGGCAGCAGCACCCACACUUGAAACCCAAUCUCUACUCAGGUAGUUCCCUCCCUAGGGAAGCAACCUCCAGUGUUAUGGCUGGGAAAGAAUUAGAAAACAAUUAAUUAAUUAUACUCCUAUUUUUAGCCUUUUUUUCUUUAGGCAGGAAUUACCAAAAAUCAUAUCUACCUUUUUAAAAAUUUGUACACUGUUAGUAUAUGCCAGGCCCCCUUUAUACAUACAAUCUCCUUACACAAACCCAGGGUAGGUACUUUUUUGUUUUGUUUUGUUUUAGAGAUGAGGUCUCCCUUUGUCACUCGGGUUGGAGCAUAGUGGCGCUUCAUAGCUUACUGCGGCCUCAACCUCCUGGACCCAAAGAAUCCUCCUGUCUCAGCCUCCCAAGUAAAGGCUUGGAGGAAAGCAGACCUCAGAAGCCUGGAGGAAAGACAGAAGCUGCCUAAACCUUGGCCAAGCCAGAGCAGAGGGCCUCAGGAUGAGGAUCCUCUCCUGCUUCUCUAGAGAAUGUGCUCCAUCAAAAAGAGAGAAUAAACCAAGAAGGGGAAGACAGAGGAUCCAGAAUCAGGGAUGAUGGUGCACGGAAGUCCAAAGAUGACAGCUGUGCAUCAGGCCUUCAACAACCAGAAUGGGAGCAGAAGGAUGGGGGGCUCUGGGAGUGUUUCCAAGAAAGAAAGAGAAACUGAUCAAAUAGAUAAUUUUUAAAAUAUAUUGAGAGGAAAAUACUUCUGCAAUAAAUUUUGGGAUAUCGUAAUAGAAACUAAGAAAAUAAACACAUGAAAAAAACAAACAAACAAAAAAACCAAGGUAAUUAUCAACCCCAGGGAGAACAAAGGUUGUAUGAGAAAAGAAAUAAAAACAGAAUUCAAUACAUGG